GAUGAACGCUGGCGGCGUGCUUAACACAUGCAAGUCGAACGGAGAACCCUUGACGGAGGCUUCGGCCAACUGAUAGGAAUUCUUAGUGGCGGACGGGUGAGUAACGCGUGAGGAACCUGCCUUGGAGUGGGGAAUAACAGCCAGAAAUGGCUGCUAAUACCGCAUGAAGCAGUUGGGUCGCAUGGCUCUGACUGCCAAAGAUUUAUCGCUCUGAGAUGGCCUCGCGUCUGAUUAGAUAGUUGGCGGGGUAACGGCCCACCAAGUCGACGAUCAGUAGCCGGACUGAGAGGUUGGCCGGCCACAUUGGGACUGAGACACGGCCCAGACUCCUACGGGAGGCAGCAGUGGGGAAUAUUGGGCAAUGGGCGCAAGCCUGACCCAGCAACGCCGCGUGAAGGAAGAAGGCCCUCGGGUUGUAAACUUCUUUUAUCAGGGACGAAACAAAUGACGGUACCUGAUGAAUAAGCCACGGCUAACUACGUGCCAGCAGCCGCGGUAAUACGUAGGUGGCAAGCGUUAUC
rnacentral:rRNA from 1 species